rnacentral:rRNA from 1 species
GGUUAAGCGACUAAGCGUACACGGUGGAUGCCCUGGCAGUCAGAGGCGAUGAAGGACGUGCUAAUCUGCGAUAAGCGUCGGUAAGGUGAUAUGAACCGUUAUAACCGGCGAUUUCCGAAUGGGGAAACCCAGUGUGUUUCGACACACUAUCAUUAACUGAAUCCAUAGGUUAAUGAGGCGAACCGGGGGAACUGAAACAUCUAAGUACCCCGAGGAAAAGAAAUCAACCGAGAUUCCCCCAGUAGCGGCGAGCGAACGGGGAGCAGCCCAGAGCCUGAAUCAGUAUGUGUGUUAGUGGAAGCGUCUGGAAAGGCGCGCGAUACAGGGUGACAGCCCCGUACACAAAAAUGCACAUGCUGUGAGCUCGAUGAGUAGGGCGGGACACGUGGUAUCCUGUCUGAAUAUGGGGGGACCAUCCUCCAAGGCUAAAUACUCCUGACUGACCGAUAGUGAACCAGUACCGUGAGGGAAAGGCGAAAAGAACCCCGGCGAGGGGAGUGAAAAAGAACCUGAAACCGUGUACGUACAAGCAGUGGGAGCACGCUUAGGCGUGUGACUGCGUACCUUUUGUAUAAUGGGUCAGCGACUUAUAUUCUGUAGCAAGGUUAACCGAAUAGGGGAGCCGAAGGGAAACCGAGUCUUAACUGGGCGUUAAGUUGCAGGGUAUAGACCCGAAACCCGGUGAUCUAGCCAUGGGCAGGUUGAAGGUUGGGUAACACUAACUGGAGGACCGAACCGACUAAUGUUGAAAAAUUAGCGGAUGACUUGUGGCUGGGGGUGAAAGGCCAAUCAAACCGGGAGAUAGCUGGUUCUCCCCGAAAGCUAUUUAGGUAGCGCCUCGUGAAUUCAUCUCCGGGGGUAGAGCACUGUUUCGGCAAGGGGGUCAUCCCGACUUACCAACCCGAUGCAAACUGCGAAUACCGGAGAAUGUUAUCACGGGAGACACACGGCGGGUGCUAACGUCCGUCGUGAAGAGGGAAACAACCCAGACCGCCAGCUAAGGUCCCAAAGUCAUGGUUAAGUGGGAAACGAUGUGGGAAGGCCCAGACAGCCAGGAUGUUGGCUUAGAAGCAGCCAUCAUUUAAAGAAAGCGUAAUAGCUCACUGGUCGAGUCGGCCUGCGCGGAAGAUGUAACGGGGCUAAACCAUGCACCGAAGCUGCGGCAGCGACGCUUAUGCGUUGUUGGGUAGGGGAGCGUUCUGUAAGCCUGUGAAGGUGUACUGUGAGGUAUGCUGGAGGUAUCAGAAGUGCGAAUGCUGACAUAAGUAACGAUAAAGCGGGUGAAAAGCCCGCUCGCCGGAAGACCAAGGGUUCCUGUCCAACGUUAAUCGGGGCAGGGUGAGUCGACCCCUAAGGCGAGGCCGAAAGGCGUAGUCGAUGGGAAACAGGUUAAUAUUCCUGUACUUGGUGUUACUGCGAAGGGGGGACGGAGAAGGCUAUGUUGGCCGGGCGACGGUUGUCCCGGUUUAAGCGUGUAGGCUGGUUUUCCAGGCAAAUCCGGAAAAUCAAGGCUGAGGCGUGAUGACGAGGCACUACGGUGCUGAAGCAACAAAUGCCCUGCUUCCAGGAAAAGCCUCUAAGCAUCAGGUAACAUCAAAUCGUACCCCAAACCGACACAGGUGGUCAGGUAGAGAAUACCAAGGCGCUUGAGAGAACUCGGGUGAAGGAACUAGGCAAAAUGGUGCCGUAACUUCGGGAGAAGGCACGCUGAUAUGUAGGUGAAGCGACUUGCUCGUGGAGCUGAAAUCAGUCGAAGAUACCAGCUGGCUGCAACUGUUUAUUAAAAACACAGCACUGUGCAAACACGAAAGUGGACGUAUACGGUGUGACGCCUGCCCGGUGCCGGAAGGUUAAUUGAUGGGGUCAGCGCAAGCGAAGCUCUUGAUCGAAGCCCCGGUAAACGGCGGCCGUAACUAUAACGGUCCUAAGGUAGCGAAAUUCCUUGUCGGGUAAGUUCCGACCUGCACGAAUGGCGUAAUGAUGGCCAGGCUGUCUCCACCCGAGACUCAGUGAAAUUGAACUCGCUGUGAAGAUGCAGUGUACCCGCGGCAAGACGGAAAGACCCCGUGAACCUUUACUAUAGCUUGACACUGAACAUUGAGCCUUGAUGUGUAGGAUAGGUGGGAGGCUUUGAAGUGUGGACGCCAGUCUGCAUGGAGCCGACCUUGAAAUACCACCCUUUAAUGUUUGAUGUUCUAACGUGGACCCGUAAUCCGGGUUGCGGACAGUGUCUGGUGGGUAGUUUGACUGGGGCGGUCUCCUCCUAAAGAGUAACGGAGGAGCACGAAGGUUGGCUAAUCCUGGUCGGACAUCAGGAGGUUAGUGCAAUGGCAUAAGCCAGCUUGACUGCGAGCGUGACGGCGCGAGCAGGUGCGAAAGCAGGUCAUAGUGAUCCGGUGGUUCUGAAUGGAAGGGCCAUCGCUCAACGGAUAAAAGGUACUCCGGGGAUAACAGGCUGAUACCGCCCAAGAGUUCAUAUCGACGGCGGUGUUUGGCACCUCGAUGUCGGCUCAUCACAUCCUGGGGCUGAAGUAGGUCCCAAGGGUAUGGCUGUUCGCCAUUUAAAGUGGUACGCGAGCUGGGUUUAGAACGUCGUGAGACAGUUCGGUCCCUAUCUGCCGUGGGCGCUGGAGAACUGAGGGGGGCUGCUCCUAGUACGAGAGGACCGGAGUGGACGCAUCACUGGUGUUCGGGUUGUCAUGCCAAUGGCACUGCCCGGUAGCUAAAUGCGGAAGAGAUAAGUGCUGAAAGCAUCUAAGCACGAAACUUGCCCCGAGAUGAGUUCUCCCUGACUCCUUGAGAGUCCUGAAGGAACGUUGAAGACGACGACGUUGAUAGGCCGGGUGUGUAAGCGCAGCGAUGCGUUGAGCUAACCGGUACUAAUGAACCGUGAGGCUUAACCUUAC